GCGGUGAAAUGCGUAGAGAUCGGGAGGAAUACCAGUGGCGAAGGCGGUUUCUGGACUGACACUGACACUGAGGUGCGAAAGCGUGGGUAGCAAACAGGAUUAGAUACCCUGGUAGUCCACGCCGUAAACGAUGUCGACCAGCCGUUGGGUGCCUAGCGCACUUUGUGGCGAAGUUAACGCGAUAAGUCGACCGCCUGGGGAGUACGGCCGCAAGGUUAAAACUCAAAUGAAUUGACGGGGGCCCGCACAAGCGGUGGAGCAUGUGGUUUAAUUCGAUGCAACGCGAAGAACCUUACCUACUCUUGACAUCCUGCGAAUUUGGUAGAGAUACCUUAGUGCCUUCGGGAACGCAGAGACAGGUGCUGCAUGGCUGUCGUCAGCUCGUGUUGUGAAAUGUUGGGUUAAGUCCCGUAACGAGCGCAACCCUUGUCCUUAUUUGCCAGCGCGUAAUGGCGGGAACUCUAAGGAGACUGCCGGUGACAAACCGGAGGAAGGUGGGGACGACGUCAAGUCAUCAUGGCCCUUACGAGUAGGGCUACACACGUGCUACAAUGGUCGGUACAAAGGGUUGCCAACUCGCGAGAGUGAGCCAAUCCCGAAAAGCCGAUCUCAGUCCGGAUCGGAGUCUGCAACUCGACUCCGUGAAGUCGGAAUCGCUAGUAAUCGUGGAUCAGAAUGCCACGGUGAAUACGUUCCCGGGCCUUGUAC
rnacentral:rRNA from 1 species